AAUCCAUGGUGUGAGCAUUGCAAUAAAAGUGAUUUGAAGCGAUCUCAUGCUUCAUGAAAAGAUUUAGCAUUUUUUAAAAAAAAAUUAGAAAUUUCAGCUUUUAAUUAU